UUGACCUCGGAUCAGGUAGGAUUACCCGCUGAACUUAAGCAUAUCAAUAAGCGGAGGAAAAGAAACCAACAGGGAUUGCCCCA
rnacentral:rRNA from 1 species